GACACGCCGGCAGCAGCGGAGCAGAGCGGCUACUCGCCCUCUGACGCCCCACCUCCUCUCCGCUCUCCUCGGAGGGGCGGCCUGCCUCCCGCCAGCCCCCGCAGGGGACACUUCAUCCGCCUGUGGACUCAGUUUAUCAGCUCUGAAGAUGUAGCAGUACCUCACUGAUACGCGGUCUCACUAGGCGAUGGCGAGGUCUCUGGAUACACGGGGUUACUCUCUUCAAAAUCACUGGCAUUCAACCUACUUGUGCAGAGAAGAGACACUAAGUAAAACGUUACAAGAAACUGUGAGAGUUGGCAUCAGCAUCUGUAAUAAACACAAUCUAAUGGUAUGAGGGAAAGAGUGAGAGCAUCCAAAGUAUUCCAGAGUGUUCCCAACAUGAUUUGGUAAAAAUAUUAAAUAAUUUAUGGAAUAAACCAAAACUUUAAAAGUGUGAAUUUGCCUGUGAAUUCCUCAAGAAGGUAUUUUAUCCAUGGGGUUGUUCUUGCAAAAGUCAUGUGGCUGAUGGUGAAGGUCGUGUGUACAUGUGUAAACAGCAAGCUUUCUCUUCACUGUAUGUUCACUAAGUCUUUCGAAAAGCACCAUUUCUAGGGGAAAUCUCCAUUGUAAUGAAAUUGCCUUCUACAAGCCUGCCUGCCAGCUCUUUACAAAUCCUUUCCAUGUUGAUGUGCUUAAGCCCUCUGCUUUUGAUGGUAUUUCCCUGUUGUAUUCAUGCAUAUUAUUUGUGCUUUGGUUCAUACUGAUCCUGUAGCAGAUGGGGAAGUGGAGAGCAGAAGGAAAUUUUCCCACUUUAAGCAUCCCUGAAGGUCAAAAUACCUCCCUUG
rnacentral:lncRNA from 1 species